GUUGGUUUGUACUCUGACAUGCACUGUUAGCUAUGGGACGUUAGACUGGUGUGUGGCUUUCCAAAUCAUGUCUAGUCAACUGAAUUUACCACAGGUGGAUUCCAGUCAAGGUCUAGAAAUAUCUGACUGAGCAUCUGUGGAAAUGAAUGGGCUUGAGCUGAGCUGAGUAUAAAUGCAAAGGCUGUGAAUACAUAUGUACGUUUUAUCUUAGUUUUUUAAUUUUAAUACGUUUUCAAGAAUUUCAAGCAAACUUGUUUCACUUUGUUCUUUUGGUGUAUUGUGUAUAGAAUGUUUUGGUGAAAAAUAAGUUUAACCCUAUUUGGAAUAAGGCUGUAACAUGACAAAAAAACAAGUGAAGUGCUGUGAAUACUCUCUGGAUUCAAUGUACAUUAGUUUUGUGGUGGGAAUGUUUCUUGUGGUUGAGAAGAUCCAGUCUGUCACCAAUGUGGAUCCACUGGAGCUUAUUGUCCGUCUUGUUUUUUUUGUUUUUUUUGUUUUUUUUUUAUCUAUCUGUUCAAAUAACACUUACAGUAUACACCUACAGUAUAUACCAUCAGUAACAGCCAGCCUAAUUUCUACUCUGGGCAAUUUUGUAGUUUGAUGUAUUAUUGUGAUGGGCCAUAAUCCUUUCCUCAGUGUCCUGAGUUGUUACACAAUAACACAAAGUCUCUGUGCUAAAUCCUUCUCUUCCAAAUCUGCUGGUUUGUUUAAACAGCUUCCAUUUCACUUUCAAGUAGAUUAAACACUGUUUGUUUUUGGACAAGAGAGCCUCAGUUUUCCCACAGUAUUUCCUCCUGUGCUGCAGGUUCGAGACCAACUUUUAAGCUUUGCUCCUCUUUUCUUCUUUUCCUGAGUUUGUAUGUAAGAUGUUUAGCUAAGACUUAGGUGAGAUUAGAUGGAGUUUAAAGGAACUGAGUUUGGCGUCUUUGGCCUCCCGUUGGUUCCUGACUCUCCUUAAGUCCCAUGCCUCACUGGGCUCUAUCAUUUAACCUUUAUACUUUUUCAUUAUCAUGUCCAGAUCUUUAACUCUUCAAUCUGCCCUUCAACCCCAUCAAAUCCA
ensembl:lncRNA